CCAUCCACUUGUCAAUAGAGGAUUCAGGAUUAAACCCUUCGAUUUCAGGACUUUGUAGUUUGACAAGCAAUAAGUUGUCUGGUACGCCUACUUGUCUUCAUUCAUUUCAUUUGUGAAAAUGUUGUCUCGCAUGUCACACUUGUUGGAGGAAUGCAAUUCAACAUCAUCAUUGGGAAAUCUUUGUCAUACACAUCAGGCCAUGAUAAAGUGUGAAGUCUUUCCUUAUACCU
rnacentral:lncRNA from 1 species